UACGGGGGGUGCGAGCGUUGUCCGGAAUCACUGGGCGUAAAGGGCUCGUAGGCGGCCAACUAAGUCAUACGUGAAAUCCCUCGGCUUAACCGGGGAACUGCGUCUGAUACUGGAUGGCUUGAGUUCGGGAGAGGGAUGCGGAAUUCCAGGUGUAGCGGUGAAAUGCGUAGAUAUCAGGAGGAAUACCGAUGGCGAAGGCAGGUCUCUGGGCUGACACUGACGCUCAUGCACGAAAGCGUGGGGAGCAAACAGG
rnacentral:rRNA from 1 species